CGGAGAAGGCUAUGUUGGCCGGGCGACGGUUGUCCCGGUUUAAGCGUGUAGGCUGAUUUUCCAGGUAAAUCCGGAAAAUCAAGGCUGAGGCGUGAUGACGAGGCACUACGGUGCUGAAGCAACAAAUGCCCUGCUUCCAGGAAAAGCCUCUAAGCAUCAGGUAACAUCAAAUCGUACCCCAAACCGACACAGGUGGUCAGGUAGAGAAUACCAAGGCGCUUGAGAGAACUCGGGUGAAGGAACUAGGCAAAAUGGUGCCGUAACUUCGGGAGAAGGCACGCUGAUACGUAGGUGAAGUCCCUUGCGGAUGGAGCUGAAAUCAGUCGAAGAUACCAGCUGGCUGCAACUGUUUAUUAAAAACACAGCACUGUGCAAACACGAAAGUGGACGUAUACGGUGUGACGCCUGCCCGGUGCCGGAAGGUUAAUUGAUGGGGUUAGCGGUAACGCGAAGCUCUUGAUCGAAGCCCCGGUAAACGGCGGCCGUAACUAUAACGGUCCUAAGGUAGCGAAAUUCCUUGUCGGGUAAGUUCCGACCUGCACGAAUGGCGUAAUGAUGGCCAGGCUGUCUCCACCCGAGACUCAGUGAAAUUGAACUCGCUGUGAAGAUGCAGUGUACCCGCGGCAAGACGGAAAGACCCCGUGAACCUUUACUAUAGCUUGACACUGAACAUUGAGCCUUGAUGUGUAGGAUAGGUGGGAGGCUUUGAAGUGUGGACGCCAGUCUGCAUGGAGCCGACCUUGAAAUACCACCCUUUAAUGUUUGAUGUUCUAACGUUGGCCCCUAAUCGGGGUUGCGGACAGUGUCUGGUGGGUAGUUUGACUGGGGCGGUCUCCUCCUAAAGAGUAACGGAGGAGCACGAAGGUUGGCUAAUCCUGGUCGGACAUCAGGAGGUUAGUGCAAUGGCAUAAGCCAGCUUGACUGCGAGCGUGACGGCGCGAGCAGGUGCGAAAGCAGGUCAUAGUGAUCCGGUGGUUCUGAAUGGAAGGGCCAUCGCUCAACGGAUAAAAGGUACUCCGGGGAUAACAGGCUGAUACCGCCCAAGAGUUCAUAUCGACGGCGGUGUUUGGCACCUCGAUGUCGGCUCAUCACAUCCUGGGGCUGAAGUAGGUCCCAAGGGUAUGGCUGUUCGCCAUUUAAAGUGGUACGCGAGCUGGGUUUAGAACGUCGUGAGACAGUUCGGUCCCUAUCUGCCGUGGGCGCUGGAGAACUGAGGGGGGCUGCUCCUAGUACGAGAGGACCGGAGUGGACGCAUCACUGGUGUUCGGGUUGUCAUGCCAAUGGCACUGCCCGGUAGCUAAAUGCGGAAGAGAUAAGUGCUGAAAGCAUCUAAGCACGAAACUUGCCCCGAGAUGAGUUCUCCCUGACUCCUUGAGAGUCCUGAAGGAACGUUGAAGACGACGACGUUGAUAGGCCGGGUGUGUAAGCGCAGCGAUGCGUUGAGCUAACCGGUACUAAUGAACCGUGAGGCUUAACCUU
rnacentral:rRNA from 1 species